rnacentral:rRNA from 1 species
GUCUACGGCCAUGCCACCCUGAACGCGCCCGAUCUCCUCAGAUCUCGGAAGCAAAGCAGGGUCGGGCCUUAUUAGUACUUGGAUGGGAGACUUUUUCUUCUCUUGCAUUCUUUAAAAC